rnacentral:rRNA from 1 species
AUUGAACGCUGGCGGAAUGCUUUACACAUGCAAGUCGAACGGCAGCACGGGGCAACCUGGUGGCGAGUGGCGAACGGGUGAGUAAUACAUCGGAACGUGCCCAAUCGUGGGGGGAUAACGUAGCGAAAGUUACGCUAAUACCGCAUACGAUCUACGGAUGAAAGCGGGGGAUCGCAAGACCUCGCGCGAGUGGAGCGGCCGAUGUCAGAUUAGGUAGUUGGUGGGGUAAAGGCUCACCAAGCCAACGAUCUGUAGCUGGUCUGAGAGGACGACCAGCCACACUGGAACUGAGACACGGUCCAGACUCCUACGGGAGGCAGCAGUGGGAAUUUUGGACAAUGGGCGGAAGCCUGAUCCAGCCAUGCCGCGUGAGUGAAGAAGG